rnacentral:rRNA from 1 species
CCUACGGGUGGCAGCAGUGAGGAAUAUUGGUCAAUGGCCGGAAGGCUGAACCAGCCAAGCCGCGUGAAGGACGAAGGUGCCAAGCAUUGUAAACUUCUUUUGUCAAGGGACAAAAUCAGGCUCGAGAGCCUGACCGAGGGUACUUGAAGAAAAAGCAUCGGCUAACUCCGUGCCAGCAGCCGCGGUAAUACGGAGGAUGCGAGCGUUAUCCGGAUUUAUUGGGUUUAAAGGGUGCGUAGGCGGGCUGUUAAGUCAGCGGUAAAAGCCCGGGGCUCAACGGGGUGAAGUGCCAUUGAUACUGCCUUGCUGGAAUGCGUAUGCCGUGGGAGGAAUGUGUGGUGUAGCAGUGAAAUGCAUAGAUAUCACACAGAACACCGAUUGCGAAGGCAUCUCACGAAUCCGCGAUUGACGCUGAUGCACGAAAGCGUGGGUAUCAAACAGGAUUAGAUACCCCUGUAGUC